UGGAGGUAUACGCAUGCCUGAUGGAAAGGUGCACAGAACCCAUUUGUGUAGAAGCUUAAGAAGAAAAGAACCGGGCCAGGCACAGUGGCUCACCCCAGUAAUCCCAGCACUCUGGAAGGCAGAGAUGGGCAGAUCACAAGGAGACAGAAAAGGAACGGCACAAAAAAGACCAUGGGAAGACAGAGACAGAGGCUGGAGUGAUGCAGCCAUGAGUUAAAGAAUGUCUGGGUCGCCCAGGAGCUGGAAGAGGCAAGGAGGGACUCUGCCAUAGCACAUUUCGAUGGAACGUGGCCCUGCCAGCACUUUGAUGUCAGACUUCUGGCCUCUAGAACUAGAAGCACCAAAGCAUCUUCAGUGCUAAGACCUGGAAAAGUCAAAGUCCCUCCUGGAGAUCCAGUCACAACCACAGGAUAGCGGAGCUGGGGGUGCCUGCUGAGUUCACUCCAUCCACCCUACCCCAUUCCCAGAACCGUACAGGCUGAGCAGUC